rnacentral:lncRNA from 1 species
UUUUAAGAUAAUUAUUUAAAAAUACAUCCUAUUGAAGAAUCAUCUAUCCACAAAUAUUCUUGUUGUCCUAAUUUCAAAAUCACAAACACAAAUCUAUAAUAUUUCUCUAAAAAUGAUAACUUUCCAAAAAUAGCAGUUUUUAAGAAAAUAAUUUAAAAAUACAACAUAUUGAUGAAAAUUUCUUAAAGAGUAUUCAUAUUUACACAAAUAGUCUAGUUAUCCUAAUUUUUAAAUCACAAACCCUAAUCUACAAUAUUUAUCUAUAAAAUUAACACUUUCCAAAAUAGCAGUUUUAAAGAAAAUUAUUUAAAAAUACAACCUAUUGAUGAAAAAAUCCGAAAUAAUCAUCUAUGCACAAAUAUUCUUGUUGUCCUAAUAUCUAAAUCACAAACCCAACUCUAUAAUAAUUCUCUAAAAAUGAAAACUUUCCAAAAAUAGCAGUUUUUAAGAAAAUUAUUUAAAAAUACAACCUAUUGAUGAAAAACUCCGAAAGAAUACUCAUUUAUCCACAAAUAUUGUUUUUGUCCUGAUUUAUAAAUCACAAACCCAAAUCUAAAUUAUUUCUCUAAAAAAUGAAUUUUUUUAAAAAUAGCAGUUUUUAAGAAAAUUAUUUAAAAUACAACAUAUUGAUGAAAAAUUCUUAAAGAUUAUUCAUCUGUCCACAAAUAAUCUAGUUGUCCUAAUUUCUAAAUCCCAAACAUAAAUCUAUAAUAUUUCACUAAAAAAUAAAAACUUUCUAAAAAUAGCAGUUUUUAAGAAAAUUAUUUUAAAAUACUACAUAUUGAUAAAAAUUCUUAAAGAAUAUUCAUCUGUCCACAAAUAGUAUAGUUGUCCUAAAAUUUAAAUCAAAAACCCAAAUCUACAAUAUUUUUCUAAAAAAUGAAAACUUUCCAAAAAUACCAGUUUUUAAGAAAAUUAUUUAAAAAUACAACACAAUGAUGAAAAAUUCUUAUAUUAUACUCUUCUAUCCACAAAUAUUCUUGUUAUCCUAAUUUUAAAAUUACAAACCCAAAUCUAUAAUAUUUCUCUAAAAAAUGAAAAAAUUCCAAAAAUAGAAGUUUUUAAGAAAAUUAUUUCAAAUACAACUUGUUGAUGCAAAAUUUCUAAAAGAAUACUCAAUUAUCCACAAAUAUUUUUCUUAUCUUAAUUUUUAAACCAGAAACUCAAAUCUACAAUAUUUCUCUAAAAAAAUGAAAAUUUUCCAAAAAUAGUAGUUUUUAAGAUAAUUAUUUAAAAAUACAACCUACUGAUGAAAAAUUCGAAAGAAUCAUCUAUCCACAAAUAUUCUUGUUAUCCUAAUUUUUAAAUCCCAAAAAAAUGAAAACUUUCCAAAAAUAACAGUUUUUAAGAAAAUUAUUUUAAAAUACAACUUAUUGAUGAAAAUUUCUUAAAGAGUAUUCGUCUUUCCACAAAUACUCUAGUUAUCCUAAUUUUUAAAUCACAAACCCUAAUCAACAAUAUUUCUCUAAAAAAUGAAAACUUUCUAAAAAUAGCAGUUUUUAAGAAAAAUUAUUUAAAAAUACAACAUUUUGAUGAAAAAUUCUUAAAGAUUAUUCAUCUUUCCACAAAUAGUCUAAUUGUCCUAAUUUUUAAAUCACAAACCCAAAUCUACAAUAUUUCUCUAAAAAAUGAAAACUUUCUAAAAAUAGCAGUUUUUAAGAAAAAUUAUUUAAAAAUACAACAUUUUGAUGAAAAAUUCUUAAAGAUUAUUCAUCUUUCCACAAAUAGUCUAAUUGUCCUAAUUUUUAAAUCACAAACCCAAAUCUACAAUAUUUCUCUAAAAAAUGAAAACUUUCUAAAAAUAGCAGUUUUUAAGAAAAAUUAUUUAAAAAUACAACAUUUUGAUGAAAAAUUCUUAAAGAUUAUUCAUCUUUCCACAAAUAGUCUAAUUGUCCUAAUUUUUAAAUCACAAACCCAAAUCUACAAUAUUUCUCUAAAAAAUGAAAACUUUCUAAAAAUAGCAGUUUUUAAGAAAAAUUAUUUAAAAAUACAACAUUUUGAUGAAAAAUUCUUAAAGAUUAUUCAUCUUUCCACAAAUAGUCUAAUUGUCCUAAUUUUUAAAUCACAAACCCAAAUCUACAAUAUUUCUCUAAAAAAUGAAAACUUAAAAAAAAAAAUAGCAGUUUUUAAGAAAAUUAUUCCAAAAUACAACCUAUUGAUGAAAAAAUCCGAAAGAAUACUCAUCUAUCCACAAAUAUUCAUUUUGUACUAAUUUCUAAAUCACAAACCCAAAUCUAUAAUAUUUCUCUAAAAAUGAAAAAUUUCCAAAAUAGCAGUUUUUAAGAAAAUUAUUUAAAAAUACAAACUGUUGAUGAAAAACCCCGAAAGAAUACACAUCUAUCCACAAAUAUUCUUGUUGUCCUAAUUUCUUAAUCACAAACCCAAAUCUAUAAUAAUUCUCUAAAAAUGAAUACUUUCCAAACAUAGCAGUUUUUAAGAAAAUUAUUUAAAAAUACAACAUAUUGAUGAAAAACUCUUAAAGAUUAUUCAUCUUUCCAUAAAUAGUCUAAUUGUCCAAAUUUUUAAUCACAAACCCAAAUCUACAAUAUUUCUCUAAAAAAUGAAAACUUUCCAAAAAUAGUAGUUUUUAAGAAAAUUAUUUAAAAAUACAACAUAUAGAUGAAAAUUUCUUAAAGAGUAUUCGUC